rnacentral:misc_RNA from 1 species
GAUGAAGAACGUAGCGAAAUGCGAUAAGUAAUGUGAAUUGCAGAAUUCAGUGAAUCAUCGAAUCUUUGAACGCACAUUGCGCCCGCCAGUAUUCUGGCGGGCAUGCCUGUCCGAGCGUCAUUUCAACCAUCAAGCCCCGGGCUUGUGUUGGGGACCUGCGUCCGACGCAGGCCCUGAAAACCAGUGGCGGGCUCGCUGUCCACACCGAGCGUAGUAACUAACCUCGCUAUGGAGUGGCGCGGGCGCCUGCCGUAAAACCCCCAAUUUCACAAGGUUGACCUCGGAUCAGGUAGGAAUACCCGCUGAACUUAAGCAUAUCAUUAAGCGGAGGA